AGCCAAAACCACGAGUCAGACGCUUAACUGAGCUACCCAGGCACCCCAAAAGCCAUGUAUUUGACCCUGAUGAUACUACUUCUUAGAAGAGGCAGAGCACUCAUGAAAUUGGAAUAAAAGAGGGGGGAUAUACAAUUAGAUUGUUCUGAUUGGCCCUUCAUAACAGUAUUUGCAUAGAUACAAUAUAUACAGUAGUACUGAGUUUUUGUUUUUUGUUCUUUGCUUUUCCUAAGGAAGAAAGCCAGAGCUGUGACAUGAGGAUUUCGUAAUGGCAAGAGCAUGAGAUUCCCAGCACUUUCACCAACAGUAAUGGUUGUAUAUUCUGUUUUCAUAAUCUGUCCUCUUGGCCCAGUACUCCUGCCUGCCCUCCACGUCUCUACAGAGGUAAUUAAGUCAGACUGAAGUCACUAUGGUGAACCCGGC